UUCUCUUUUCCUUCAAAACCCAAAUGCCAUCCUUUCUUUUUGUUAUCCACUUUCUUGUUUAUUCCGUUCGAUUUACUGAGACCAUACGAAGGAAAAUUUGAUUCUUACUUUGAGAUUUUGCUGAUCCAAUCUUGGAACACCGGUUACAAUUCAGAGUACGAAGCAAGGUUGAGGAAGUAAGCUUGGGAAGAGCUUGUACCGGGAGCUUGAGCAAAAGUUGGUAUUUUUGCUUGUCUAUAAUGUGUAUAUCACGGGGUAAUCUGGGUAGUUUAUUUUGAUGUUGUCCCAUGUCAUUUUGAUGUAUUUUUGUUGUAUAUAUGAUGAGAACCGGUAGAAAGUCUUUGUGUGGUUUGUAAGGAAAAACUUCGUCGUGCCGCAAAGGAUAGGUCUGAUUUUGGUGCAUCAUGGUAAACUCAUUUUACUGUAAUGGGACCUCCUUACCUAUAUAUCUUAACACCUUUGGACUUCUACUUAUAUAAUAAAAAGUCAUGGCUGGUGUCCCUUUCAUCUUUA